UACGGAGGGGGCUAGCGUUGUUCGGAAUCACUGGGCGUAAAGGGCGCGUAGGCGGCUUUAUAAGUCGGGGGUGAAAGCCUGUGGCUCAACCACAGAAUUGCCUUCGAUACUGUAGAGCUUGAGACCGGAAGAGGUAAGUGGAACUGCGAGUGUAGAGGUGAAAUUCGUAGAUAUUCGGAAGAACACCAGUGGCGAAGGCGGCUUACUGGUCCGGUUCUGACGCUGAGGCGCGAAAGCGUGGGGAGCAAACAGG
rnacentral:rRNA from 1 species